UGUUCGGCGUUGGUGGCCCCAACUAACGGAGCACGGACGCCCCCUACUGGAGCAACCUCCUAUGGGAAUACGGUAACAUUCACGUGUAACUCGGGAUACGUACGGAACGGCACUGCUACCGCGACGUGCCAAUCUGACGGAACAUGGACUUAUCCUGUUUCAACAUGCACACCCAGACCAUGUCCGGCGUUGACGGCCCCAACUUACGGAGCGCUGAGUCCUCCCGGACCUUACUCCUACCCGAACCAGGUUACAGUCACCUGUAACUCGGGAUACCAACUGAAUGGAGUCUCUUUUGUGACGUGCCAAGCAGACGGAACAUGGAGCAACACUGUCCCAACAUGCACACAAGUUGACUUUUGUAGUCCCAAUCCGUGUAAAAAUGGAGGAACUUGCAUUGAUAGGGACAGUGGCUUCCUAUGCGUGUGUUCGGCUGACCAUGAAGGAGAUACUUGCC